AGAAAAGAGGAGAAGAUGAGCAGCUGACUUUGCCUCCCCCGUUAUAAAAGGGAGGAGGGGGCAGGGAGGAAGCCGUCCAUAGAUUCCUCCGCCUCGUCACUCCACUCCUUGAGAUUUGAGAACCACAAGGGCCACCCCCCACCCACCCUCCAAGGACAUGGCGGACGCCGUCGACCGCUUGAAGACCGGGUUCAACAAGUUCAAGACCGAGGUCUAUGACAAGAAGCCGGAGCUGUUCGAGCCUCUCAAGGCCGGCCAGUCCCCCAAGUACAUGGUGUUUGCGUGCUCCGACUCCCGUGUGUGCCCGUCGGUGACCCUGGGUCUGCAGCCCGGUGAGGCCUUCACCGUCCGCAACAUCGCCGCCAUGGUCCCAGCCUACGACAAGACCAAGUACACCGGCAUUGGGUCUGCCAUUGAGUACGCCGUGUGCGCCCUCAAGGUGCAGGUCCUCGUCGUCAUUGGCCACAGCUGCUGUGGUGGCAUCAGGGCGCUCCUCUCCCUCCAGGAUGGCGCACCUGACACCUUCCACUUCGUUGAGGACUGGGUCAGGAUCGGCUUCCCUGCCAAGAUCAAGGUGAAGAAAGAGCACGCUUCGGUGCCGUUCGAUGACCAGUGUUCCAUCCUGGAGAAGGAGGCCGUGAACGUGUCCCUCGACAACCUCAAGACGUACCCCUUCGUCAAGGAAGGGCUGGCCAACGGGACCCUCAGGCUGGUCGGCGGCCACUACAACUUCGUGUCAGGGGAGUUCGACACAUGGGAAAUUAAGAGGGACGCCGUCGAGCGCUUGAAGACCGGGUUCGAGCAGUUCAAGGCCGAUGUCUACGACAAGAAGCCGGAGCUGUUCGAGCCACUCAAGGCGCACCAGUCACCCAAGUACAUGGUGUUCGCCUGCUCCGACUCCCGCGUGUGCCCGUCGGUGACCCUGGGCCUGCACCCCGGCGAGGCCUUCGCCGUCCGCAACAUCGCCAGCAUGGUGCCACCCUACGACAAGACCAAGUACGCCGGCGUCGGGUCCGCCAUCGAGUACGCCGUGUGCGCCCUCAAGGUGGAGGUCAUCGUCGUCAUCGGCCACAGCCGCUGCGGCGGGAUCAAGGCGCUCCUCUCCCUCGAGGACGGCGCGCCCGACAAGUUCCACUUCGUGGAGGAAUGGGUCAGGAUCGGCGGUCCGGCCAAGACUAAGGUGAAGACCGACCACGCCUCGGUGCCGUUCGAAGACCAAUGCUCCAUCCUCGAGAAGGAGGCCGUGAACGUGUCCCUUGAGAACCUCAAGACGUACCCGUUCGUCAAGGAAGGGGUGGAGAAAGGGACCCUCAAGCUGGUCGGCGGCCACUACGACUUCGUCAAUGGAAAGUUCGAGACAUGGGAGCCCUAAGCCGCGCGCGGCCGGCCAAAUUAACAGCCGCAGCAAGGCUUCAUCAUAUAACUCCAACAAGGCUACACCAUAUAUACAUGCAUAUUAUAUACAAACGCUCCCGAACCUAUUUGCCGCGUGGAGUACUUAUUUGCCGCUAUAUACUAGCUAUACACAUACCGGAAUUGACGUACCGGUGAGAACAACUAUACUGUAAUAAGCAAUACCUGCGUGCUUUGACUUCUAACGCGGAGUUGUUUUUUUUUUAUGAUAAUAUGAUGCAUAUAUAAUUUGAUUAAUCUGUGGUCCUCACUGUUCUUUGUC